rnacentral:rRNA from 1 species
UAUUAUACUCUCUCAGACGAACGCUGGCGGCGUGCCUAAUACAUGCAAGUCGAACGAACUCUGGUAUUGAUUGGUGCUUGCAUCAUGAUUUACAUUUGAGUGAGUGGCGAACUGGUGAGUAACACGUGGGAAACCUGCCCAGAAGCGGGGGAUAACACCUGGAAACAGAUGCUAAUACCGCAUAACAACUUGGACCGCAUGGUCCGAGCUUGAAAGAUGGCUUCGGCUAUCACUUUUGGAUGGUCCCGCGGCGUAUUAGCUAGAUGGUGGGGUAACGGCUCACCAUGGCAAUGAUACGUAGCCGACCUGAGAGGGUAAUCGGCCACAUUGGGACUGAGACACGGCCCAAACUCCUACGGGAGGCAGCAGUAGGGAAUCUUCCACAAUGGACGAAAGUCUGAUGGAGCAACGCCGCGUGAGUGAAGAAGGGUUUCGGCUCGUAAAACUCUGUUGUUAAAGAAGAACAUAUCUGAGAGUAACUGUUCAGGUAUUGACGGUAUUUAACCAGAAAGCCACGGCUAACUACGUGCCAGCAGCCGCGGUAAUACGUAGGUGGCAAGCGUUGUCCGGAUUUAUUGGGCGUAAAGCGAGCGCAGGCGGUUUUUUAAGUCUGAUGUGAAAGCCUUCGGCUCAACCGAAGAAGUGCAUCGGAAACUGGGAAACUUGAGUGCAGAAGAGGACAGUGGAACUCCAUGUGUAGCGGUGAAAUGCGUAGAUAUAUGGAAGAACACCAGUGGCGAAGGCGGCUGUCUGGUCUGUAACUGACGCUGAGGCUCGAAAGUAUGGGUAGCAAACAGGAUUAGAUACCCUGGUAGUCCAUACCGUAAACGAUGAAUGCUAAGUGUUGGAGGGUUUCCGCCCUUCAGUGCUGCAGCUAACGCAUUAAGCAUUCCGCCUGGGGAGUACGGCCGCAAGGCUGAAACUCAAAGGAAUUGACGGGGGCCCGCACAAGCGGUGGAGCAUGUGGUUUAAUUCGAAGCUACGCGAAGAACCUUACCAGGUCUUGACAUACUAUGCAAAUCUAAGAGAUUAGACGUUCCCUUCGGGGACAUGGAUACAGGUGGUGCAUGGUUGUCGUCAGCUCGUGUCGUGAGAUGUUGGGUUAAGUCCCGCAACGAGCGCAACCCUUAUUAUCAGUUGCCAGCAUUAAGUUGGGCACUCUGGUGAGACUGCCGGUGACAAACCGGAGGAAGGUGGGGAUGACGUCAAAUCAUCAUGCCCCUUAUGACCUGGGCUACACACGUGCUACAAUGGAUGGUACAACGAGUUGCGAACUCGCGAGAGUAAGCUAAUCUCUUAAAGCCAUUCUCAGUUCGGAUUGUAGGCUGCAACUCGCCUACAUGAAGUCGGAAUCGCUAGUAAUCGCGGAUCAGCAUGCCGCGGUGAAUACGUUCCCGGGCCUUGUACACACCGCCCGUCACACCAUGAGAGUUUGUAACACCCAAAGUCGGUGGGGUAACCUUUUAGGAACCAGCCGCCUAAGGUGGGACAGAUGAUUAGGGUGAAGUCGUAC